GUGGAAAGCCAACGGGAAGGUCUUGGAAGCAUCAAAGGAUGGUGGAAACUCAACGGGAAGGUCUUGGAAGCAUCAAAGGAUGGUGGAAACCCAAUGGGAAGGUCUUGGAAGCAUCAAAGGAUGGUGGAAACUCAACGGGAAGGUCUUGGAACCAUCAAAACCAUCUGGAAUUUGACAAAAAUUGGCUUGAACCCAACCAAAACUGGUAGAAACCCAACGGGAAGGUCUUGGAAGCAUCAACAAUGGUGGGAACCCAACGGGAAGGUCUUGGAAGCAUCAAAACCAUCUGGAAUUUGACAAUAAAUGGCUUGAACCCAACCAAAACUGGUGGAAACCCAACGGGAAGGUCUCGGAAGCGUCGAACGACGGCGACGACCCAAC